rnacentral:misc_RNA from 1 species
GAGAACGUAGCGAAAUGCGAUAAUUAAUGUGAAUUACAGAAUUCCGUGAAUCAUCGAGUCUUUGAACGCACAUUGCGCCUCAUGGCAUUCCGUGAGGCAUGCCCAUCUCAGCGUUAGAAAAUAUUCUCAAAUUUUAGUUUUGUGCUAAAAUUUGGAUCAUGUCAAGGAAGCUAUUACUAUUAUUGUGAUCGCUCUUUGGAAAUUGAUAGGUCUUUGAGUUGCUACUCAUAGAACGUGAUGAAUCUUUCUUCGUUCUAUUGUAAUUCACUCUGGUAGUCCUAAAACUUGUAUGCCUGUGGCAUAUCUUGUAAUUUGACCUGAGAUUGGGUAGGGAUACCCGCUGAACUUAAGCAUAUCAAUAAGCGGAGGA